rnacentral:lncRNA from 1 species
GUUCAGCAAAGUAAGAUCUAAAAAUAAGUCAACAUGACCAAAAUUGUCAGUUUACCCCUUAAGGAGUUAUUGCCCUUUAUAGUCAUUUUUUAACAAUUUUUGUAAAUUUUUAGAAUAUAUUUUCCACAGUUAUUACUGGGCCAAGUUCAUUAUAGUUAGAGAUAAUUGUAGCAAGAAGAAUGUCCAGUAAAGUAAGAUCUACAAACACAUCAUAAUCACCAAAACACAAUUUUGUCAUGAAUUUAUCUGUGU